UCCAACCUGCAUUUCCCUUGCAUAGGCUACAUGCUCCUCUGCUGUGUGGCCUUUUGUCUCCUGGGGACAGUGUCCAUGGAUACUGGUGUUACCCAGACCCCAAGGCAUAGCAUCACAAAGACAGGAAACAGCAUUGUUCUGGAAUGUUCUCAGAAUAAGAGUCAUGACUAUAUGUACUGGUAUCGACAAGACCCUGGACUGGGGCUGCGACUGAUCUACUCUUCCUUCGAUAUCAAAGAUAUUAACAAAGGAGAGGUCUCUCAUGGGUACAGUGUCUCUCGAAGUGAGAAGGCGAAAUUCCCCCUCUCUCUAGACACUGCCAGCCCCAACCAGACAGCUCUUUACUUCUGUGCCAGCAGUNAAGAAAUUAAUUAUAAGAGAAUGAAAUAUAAUACACUGAAAUAUCAUGUCCUAUCAUAA